GACGAACGCUGGCGGCGUGCUUAACACAUGCAAGUCGAACGGAAAGGCCCUGCUUUUGUGGGGUGCUCGAGUUGCGAACGGGUGAGUAACACGUGAGUAACCUGCCCUUGACUUUGGGAUAACUUCAGGAAACUGGGGCUCAUACCGGAUAGGAGCUCCUGCUGCAUGGUGGGGGUUGGUAAGUUUCGGCGGUUGGGGUUGGACUCGCGGCUUAUCAGCUUGUUGGUGGGGUAGUGGCUUACCAAGGCCUUGACGGGUAGCCGGGCUGAGAGGGUCAGCGGACACGUUGGGACGGAGAUACGGCCCAGACUCGUACGGGAGGGAGCAGUGGGGAAGAGUGCACAAUGGGCGGAAGCCUGAUGCAGCAACGCCGCGUGGGGGAUGACGGGCAUCGGGUUGUAAACCGCUUUCGCCUGUGACGAAGCGUGAGUGACGGUAAUGGGUAAAGAAGCACCGGCUAACUACGUG
rnacentral:rRNA from 1 species